UCCAUGAUAGCUCAGUUGGUAGAGCAAUCGGCUGUUAACCGAUCGGUCGUAGGUUCGAGUCCUACUCAUGGAG
rfam:Schwartzia succinivorans DSM 10502 genome assembly, contig: EJ98DRAFT_scaffold00017.17